CGGGAUCGGGAUCGGGAUCGGGAUCGCACAGGACCCCUCGGGAUGCGGCUCCUGCUGCUGCUGCUGCUCCUGCCCGCGGCCACAGGUGCGCGGGUGCCCAGGUGGGUGCUGGAGGGCCACACCUGUGCCCCGCCCUGGC